UUAAACAUUCGUAUCAAUUUAUUAACAGGGUUUCUUGUAGCUAUCCAAAUAAGAAUAUUACAUUCAAGAUUGAUGAGAGUAGUGAUAAUCCUUAUUAUUUGGCUUUUGUUAUAUGGUAUCAACAAGGCAAAACUGAUAUUUCCGCAGUUCAAUUGUGUGAGACAGAAAAUUUUGUGUGCAAAUUAUUGGAUAGGACACGUGGCGCAGUAUGGACAAGUUCAUCACCACCAAAAGGACAAUUGCAAAUAAGAAUGUUAUUGAGUUCUGAUGAUGGAGAUGAAAAAUGGAUUAUUCCUUUAAAUAAUAUUCCUCAAAAUUGGAAAGGUGGUGAAACAUAUGAUUCUGGAAUACAAGUGGAUUAAUAACGGAACGGGAACAAGAGGUUGUCCUUUUCUCAGUUUGAUAAUUUCAAAAUUAUUAUCAAUAAUUGUUGUCGAUGAAAAGAUGCAUUAAAUUUUGGAUAAGCAGUUAACGUAAAUUACUAUCGUAUAAUGAUUUUGUAUAAUUUGUAAGCAAAAAUUUGUUUUUAUGUUAUUUGUUGAUUAAAUUUGUCAUAUGAAAAAAGAGAAGAGUAUAUUGGCUCUUUUUUAAAAUAAGUAUAGUUGUUAUAAGUG